rnacentral:sRNA from 1 species
AAAAAUAUUGAGCUCACCAAUGGAGAUGCUCUUAUUAGUAUAAUGAAGCAUAAAUAUUAAAGAGUUGCCCAAAAGUAGCUAUUCAGCUACUUUUGGGCAACCUCUUUAAUAUUUA